GCCUCAGAGACAGGCCUGAGUUUUUUUUUUUUCCCUCCCCUUCUCCAGGGCGGAGAGACUACUACGCCAUCCAUGCUCCCCAGAUAGCCCGGCCAUGAUUGGGGUGGACGGGAGAUGGAAUCCGAAAGAUUUGCAGGAGGGUUCUGGACUAGGAAGGUUCUCUGAAUCGGAAAGACAGAGGAGAGGAGUUGGAAGGGACCUUGUAGGUCAUCUAGUCCAACCCCGCAGACACCCAAGCAGGAAACCCUACACCAUUUCUGACAGAGGGCAGUCCAGUCUCUUCUCGAAAGCCUCCAGGCAAUAUGGAAAGUCAGUCGACAAGCAUUUGAAUGUAAAUCACGUGACCGUGGGAUCCCGCUACAGUCGUGUGAAUGAUGGUCAUGUCGCUUUUUUGUACCUUCAAACCGUCACUAAAUGAGCUGUUGUGGAGGACUAUCUGUACCAGAGACAAAUUCCUUGUGUGUUCCUAAGCACACUUGGCCAAAUAAAGCAUUCAAUUCAAUUCAA